AUUGAACGCUGGCGGCAGGCUUAACACAUGCAAGUCGAGCGGGGUGAUGGUGCUUGCACUAUCACUUAGCGGCGGACGGGUGAGUAAUGCUUAGGAAUCUGCCUAUUAGUGGGGGACUACAUCUCGAAAGGGAUGCUAAUACCGCAUACGUCCUACGGGAGAAAGCAGGGGAUCACUUGUGACCUUGCGCUAAUAGAUGAGCCUAAGUCGGAUUAGGUAGUUGGUGGGGUAAGGGCCUACCAAGGCGACGAUCUGUAGCGGGUCUGAGAGGAUGAUCCGCCACACUGGGACUGAGACACGGCCCAGACUCCUACGGGAGGCAGCAGUGGGGAAUAUUGGACAAUGGGGGGAACCCUGAUCCAGCCAUGCCGCGUGUGUGAAGAAGGCCUUAUGGUUGUAAAGCACUUUAAGCGAGGAGGAGGCUCUUUUGGUUAAUACCCAAGAUGAGUGGACGUUACUCGCAGAAUAAGCACCGGCUAACUCUGUGCCAGCCGCCGCAGUAA
rnacentral:rRNA from 1 species